GAUCCUGGCUCAGGAUGAACGCUGGCGGCGUGCUUAACACAUGCAAGUCGAACGAAGCACUUAAGAUUGAUUCUUCGGAUGAAGUCUUUUGUGACUGAGUGGCGGACGGGUGAGUAACGCGUGGGUAACCUGCCUCAUACAGGGGGAUAACAGUUAGAAAUGACUGCUAAUACCGCAUAAGCGCACAGGGUCGCAUGACCUGGCGUGAAAAACUCCGGUGGUAUGAGAUGGGACCCG
rnacentral:rRNA from 1 species